rnacentral:lncRNA from 1 species
AAAGCUCUUUGCCAUCUGCCCGCAGAUGGCAAAGUGACUAUAUUGCCCCAUUUAAUUUUGAUUUUUCUUAUAUCAGUUCCUUUUCACAGAAAAUCAAACACAAAUAUAUUUAUAUGACCAAUAUAGCAUAUUCAACACAUAUUACCAAUAGUCAUGAACACAUAUAUAUCCAACACAUGUUACCAAUAGUAGCAAGUUUCAUCCGUACAUAUACAUAGUUUCAUCAAUAUUACACAGUUUCAUCCAUAGGUAGCAAGUUUCACAAGGUCAAAACAAAAACUAAAUACAAGCACUCCAUCAACCCAAGCUUCCGUGAUCUUAAGCAAAUCUGUAAAAUGGGAAAGAAGAAAGUUAGAAGAAGAAGACUAGAAGAAGAAGAUUAUUAUGAUGCGGAAAUAUGCAUGGAUUGUCAAAACUUGCAUUAUCCUACUAACACUAGUACAACAAAGCUGCAGGUUGGCAUAGUUCAUGAACCAUGUACAUCAUGACAAAUACAAUAUCAUCCAAUCCUCGACUAUGAACAAAAUUGAACAAUUACACCUCACAAAGGCAGAGCAUAGAACCAACAAGCAAAGGAGCUCACUCGAGGGGGUUCUAGCCUAGGACGAGCUUCAUCACCAUGGAUGCAGCUAGGGGAAUCAGACGAGUCUACCAUCAUAGGAGCAGCACCACCACCACCGCCAAAACUGGAAUGCCCGGAGCGAAUCACCAUCAUAUGUGUACAACUACCAGUGUUGUAGUACUUGAGGAAGAUGAAUAUAACACAGCUCACACACAUAGGUACAAAGUAAU